rnacentral:misc_RNA from 1 species
UCAAACUUGGUCAUUUAGAGGAAGUAAAAGUCGUAACAAGGUUUCCGUAGGUGAACCUGCGGAAGGAUCAUUAUCGAGUUAGGGUUUUUUUAGGCCCGACCUCCCAACCCUUUGUUUUCCUGAACCUCUGUUGCUUCGGCGAGCCCCGUCUUUAUUGACCGCCGGAGGACGACCCGAGAGGGCGUACUCUGGCCCGUGUUCGUCGAGAGCCAACCUCUUCAACUUCUGAAAUAAUCGUGUCUGAAUGUCUAAGUAAAAUAAUGAAAUGUUAAGCAAAACUUUCAACAACGGAUCUCUUGGUUCUGGCAUCGAUGAAGAACGCAGC